CCUACGGGUGGCUGCAGUGAGGAAUAUUGGUCAAUGGCCGGAAGGCUGAACCAGCCAUGCCGCGUGAAGGUCAGUGCCCUAUGGGCGUUAAACUUCUUUUGGCCGGGAGCAAUAAUGGUCACGUGUGGCCAGACGAGAGUACCGUACGCAUAAGCAUCGGCUAACUCCGUGCCCGCAGCCGCGGUAAUAAGGGGGGUGCAAGCGUUAUCCGGAUUUAUUGGGUUUAAGGGGUGCGUAGGCUGUGGGGUAAGUCAGCGGGGAAAAGCCCCCGCUCCACGGGGUGAAGGGCCAUUGAUACUGGCUAGCUGGAAUGCGGAUGCGGUGGGAGGAAUGUGUGGUGUAGCGGUGAAAUGCAUAGAUAUCAGGCAGAACACCGAUUGCGAAGGCAUCUCACGAAUCCGCGAUUGACGCUGAUGCGCGAAAGCGUGGGUAUCAAACAGGAUUAGAUACCCGUGUAGUC
rnacentral:rRNA from 1 species